GGAAGGAUCAUUAUUGAAUAAAAACAAGAUCAAGUUGUUGCUGGCUUCCAUUGAGCAUGUGCACGCUCGCUUGUUUCUUUUUCACCCCUUGUGCACCUUAGUAGACCAGAUAAAGCUCUGAUUCCUGCUUGCAGACUUCAGUUUGAGAAUUGCUUCAAGCUGUUCUUGUCUUUCAGGUCUAUGUUCUUUUUUGUACACACCCCAUUGAAUGUAAUAGAAUGGUUUGGGAAUAAAAGCACAAUUACAACUUUCAACAACGGAUCUCUUGGCUCUUGCAUCGAUGAAGAACGCAGCGAAAUGCGAUAAGUAAUGUGAAUUGCAGAAUUCAGUGAAUCAUCGAAUCUUUGAACGCACCUUGCGCUCUUUGGUAUUCCGAGGAGCAUGCCUGUUUGAGUGUCAUUAUAAUUAUCAAGCUCUUCCAGCUUGGAAAGGCUUGGAUAUUGGGGGCUGCUGGAUUCUUUCUAAAUUCGGCUCUCCUUAAAUGCAUUAGCAAGAUCAAUGCUUAGCCGUCUUUGACAUGAUAAAAAUUAUCUGUACUGUCAGGCCCAUUGACAAAGAUCUUGCUUCCAAUCGUCCCUUUUAAACAAAUUUGACCUCAAAUCAGGUAGGACUACCCGCUGAACUUAAGCAUAUCAAUAAGCGGAGGAAAAGAAACUAACAAGGAUUCCCUUAGUAACUGCGAGUGAAGCGGGAAAAGCUCAAAUUUGAAAUCUGGCGGCAUUAAGCUGUCCGAGUUGUAAUCUCGAGAAGCAUUACCCGUGCUGGACUGUGUAUAAGUCUCCUGGAAUGGAGCAUCAUAGAGGGUGAGAAUCCCGUCUUUGACACAGGCUUUCAGUGCAUCGUGGUAUGCUCUCAAAGAGUCGAGUUGUUUGGGAAUGCAGCUCUAAAUGGGUGGUAAAUUCCAUCUAAAGCUAAAUAUUGGCGAGAGACCGAUAGUGAACAAGUACCGUGAGGGAAAGAUGAAAAGAACUUUGGAAAGAGAGUUAAACAGUACGUGAAAUUGUUGAAAGGGAAACGCUUGAAGUCAGUCGCAUUAAUCAGGGAUCAACCUUGCUUUUGCUUGGUGUACUUCUUGAUCAAUGGGCCAGCAUCAAUUUUGAUCAGUGGAAAAGGACUUGGGGAAUGUGGCAUCUUCUGAUGUGUUAUAGCCCUUUGUUGUAUACACUGAUUGGGAUUGAGGCACUCGACACGCCGCAAAGGCCGGGUUUUCUACCACGUUCGUGUCUAGGAUGCUGGCAUAAUGGCUUUAAUCGACCCGUCUUGAAACACGGACCAAGGAGUCUAACAUGCCUGCAAGUGUUUGGGUGGAAAACCCAUGCGCACAAUGAAAGUGAAAGUUGGGAUCUCUGUCUCGGAGAGCACCGAUGCCCGGACCAGACCUUCUGUGACGGAUCCGCGGUUGAGCAUGCAUGUUGGGACCCGAAAGAUGGUGAACUAUGCCUGAAUAGGGUGAAGCCAGAGGAAACUCUGGUGGAGGCUCGUAGCGAUU
rnacentral:rRNA from 1 species